UCCGGAUUAUCUCCGGCAGUCCCACUAGAGUUCCAAACUUAAUUAGGGCAACUAGUAGUAAGGGUUGCGCUCGUUGCGUCACUUAAGACAACAUCUCACGACACGAGCUGACGACAGCCAUGCAGCACCUGUGUCUAGGUUCCUUGCGGCACAAUCACAUCUCUGUAAUCUUCCUAGCAUGUCAAGAGCAGGUAAGGUUUUUCGCGUUGCAUCGAAUUAAUCCACAUCAUCCACCGCUUGUGCGGGUCCCCGUCAAUUCCUUUGAGUUUUAAUCUUGCGACCGUACUCCCCAGGCGGUCUACUUCUCGCGUUAGCUUCGCUACUAAGGUUUUCACCCCCAACAGCAAGUAGACAUCGUUUAGGGCGUGGACUAC
rnacentral:misc_RNA from 1 species